UUCAACAAAAGAAAUAUAAGCUGCUGAAAACAGAAACAUGUACAAUUUCAUAGAACUUGCACUUUCAAAUUGUUGUACCUUUGCAAAGUGGUCUUAUUAGUAAAUGUUUAUCUGCGGACAUUACAAGUAAAGUUUUAUCUGCUUAAGGAAAGUUUAUUUACCCAAAGAGACAUACAUGAAUGAAAAAUAAUUUUACAAAAAAAUUGGAAACAGACUACCACAUAUUACACAACCUAUAAAGGUGCAUCUUCAACCAUGGAAAAAUCAAAUUCUUCACAAAUUUUGAUUACCAAACGCUACAGCCUGAUGUACACCCGAUAACACACACGAGGAUUCGGUUGUGAAUUGAGAAAGAUUACAUGAUUCAAAUUAGGUGGCACAUCCCGAAAAAAAUCAAUAUAUCUGAACAAUCAAUUCAAGAACUAAUGCAUAAAAGAGUAUAUUUUGGACCCAAGGUUAGCUGCAUUAUUCAUUGAACACCAUACCUUACCCCUUUUCAGAAAAUACAGCAUCCAACUUCAUAGAAUUAUACGUUUACACCCUUUGUUUUCCUUCUAUGCUAAUUAUAUGGUAGAGAGACCCACAAAAAAAAUAUCGCCCAUUCCCAAUGCAAAAAAUACAUCAUCUGCCAUAUUUUCCAAUUCCCAAUGCAAAAAAUACAUCAUCCACCAAUUACAUCAUGAAGGAAAUCAUAGGCGUCACAAAAGCCAAAAGGCCAAUGACAAAAAGCCAAUGAAUGAAUCUGAACAAAAGUCCACCAUAGUGAAGACGAUGAUCGUAUAAUGGAAACAAAGUACUAACUGACUAGCUAUCUAAAGAUAUUUCAUCCAAAAUAAGGAUCAACUAUGGUCUCUGAGCUUAACAAUUAAUCAAAUUACAACACAUAGAGUGCCUUUUUUCUCAAGAACCCAAACGUUAAACAUUAGCAAAUAUUGGGAACGAAAGGGGCGAGUACAAGGUUAGCUCCCCAACUAUGUUACAACUCACAUGGUACAUGUUGGGCAAAGCACCAUGUCAACAUGGAUGAGAGUGGGAAUUAUGUUCCAGACAAGGCAUUUCAAUGCCGGGCACCCUGUUUCUAUGCAUUUGUCACCUGAGGGCUAUUAUGGGCUGUUACACUUAUAGCACAUAUUUAUUGUUUGUUUUCGCGGCUUGGACAUUUCUGGCAGGCAUCAAGUAUCGCAAUUAACGAGUUUUCGAACUCGAGUCCAGUAAGGGAAGCUGAACAAGGCUCAUGGGGUGACAAUUUGUUAAAGAGUUUAAACUUGGGACUUUGGAGCCUUAAUUGUCUUACUCAUGGUUUUGGUCCAACAAAAUUCAUACCAAAAAAAUUUCUCGGCGAACUUUCAAUAUCUCUGUAUGGAUAAAAUAAUUAUUUCUAAAUUGAGCAUAUCCCCAUGCCUACAUCAAAA